AUUGCCUCAGAUCUCUAACUGUGUCGCAAUCUCGUCAACACCAUGAAGGGGGGCAGCAUGGUGUAUACAAUUGCUCUUUUGUUCAUCGGGUGCCUAGUCAUGGUUGGACAAUGUCGUCCUGAGCCCGAGAGCACAUACGAAGAUGGCCAUCGCAACGUGGCUACGGUGGUCUCAUCAUUAGAUGACAACAAACUUACCUUGCAAUGGUGUGUCGCAAGGGAUUGUGUAACCAAAGGUGAACCGCAUGCCAAUCAUUGCUUUUGCUGCCACAAUGCGCCGGGAGCACCUUGUUUUAAUUCCAGAUUGGAUUGUCAGAGUCAAUGCCCAACUAUGCCUCCAGGAAAAUAAGGGUGUGCAUAGUAGGAAAUAGGUUUAAUUUGUCAUUAUCUAUGCAAUUUGAGUCAUGGGCGAGUAUUAAAUUAUGUUGAGAAUUAAACAUUUUAUUUGAUGAUUAUGAGAGUGGUGAUUCCUCAAGACCACCUUUUAUGUGGCUUA